rnacentral:rRNA from 1 species
GAUGAACGCUGACAGAAUGCUUAACACAUGCAAGUCUACUUGAUCCUUCGGGUGAUGGUGGCGGACGGGUGAGUAACGCGUAAAGAACUUGCCCUGCAGUCUGGGACAACAUUUGGAAACGAAUGCUAAUACCGGAUAUUAUGUGAGUUUCGCAUGAAAUUCAUAUGAAAGCUAUAUGCGCUGCAGGAGAGCUUUGCGUCCUAUUAGCUAGUUGGUGAGGUAACGGCUCACCAAGGCGAUGAUAGGUAGCCGGCCUGAGAGGGUGAACGGCCACAAGGGGACUGAGACACGGCCCUUACUCCUACGGGAGGCAGCAGUGGGGAAUAUUGGACAAUGGACCAAAAGUCUGAUCCAGCAAUUCUGUGUGCACGAUGAAGUUUUUCGGAAUGUAAAGUGCUUUCAGUUGGGACGAAGUAAGUGACGGUACCAACAGAAGAAGCGACGGCUAAAUACGUGCCAGCAGCCGCGGUAAUACGUAUGUCGCAAGCGUUAUCCGGAUUUAUUGGGCGUAAAGCGCGUCUAGGCGGUUUGGUAAGUCUGAUGUGAAAAUGCGGGGCUCAACUCCGUAUUGCGUUGGAAACUGCCAAACUAGAGUACUGGAGAGGUGGGCGGAACUACAAGUGUAGAGGUGAAAUUCGUAGAUAUUUGUAGGAAUGCCGAUGGGGAAGCCAGCCCACUGGACAGAUACUGACGCUAAAGCGCGAAAGCGUGGGUAGCAAACAGG